UGUUCACCCGGUCAUUCAACAUACCACAGGCUCUCUUUCUCCCUAAUAAAUGAAAAAGGGAUGUCUCCAUUUCACAGCGAGAGGGGAGACAUAACAAACAACUCGUUGAUUUAUAAUAAGUCUGUUGUGUUGCUUUUUUCAAGCUCUGUGCCCAGAGAGUUAGCCGCAGAAAGGCUCUGGCCUCUGGACAAUCCUUCCUAUAAAGAGGUGACCAGAACUGAACACAAUAUUCCAAAUGUGGCCUGACCAGAGUUUUAUAGAAUUGCCAACAUUUUGUUGUGGCUCUUGAACUCAGUCCUUGAGUAAUGAAGGCCAUCACACCAUAUGCCUUUUUAACCACCUUGUCAACUUGGGGUUGAUAAGCAACUUAGGGAUCUAUGGACACGAUCCCACUGUUCUUCCAAACUGUUAAGAAUCUUACCAUUAACCCAGUACACUGCCUUCAAUUUGACCUUCCAAAGUGAAUCAUCUUUCCAUAUUUAACUCCAUCUGCCAUUUCUCAGCCCAGCUCUGUAUCCUAUCAAUGCCCCAUUGUAACCUAUGACAACCUUCUACACUACCUACAACACCAGCAAACUUUAUAUCCUUUGCGAACUUACUCUGUUACUUCCUCAUUCAAGUCAUUUAUAAGAAUUAUGAAAUGCAGUGGUCCCAGAACAGAUCCCUGUGGAACACCGCUUGUCACUGAUCUGCAGGAAGUAUGCAACCCAUCUACAACCACCCACUGCCUUCUGUGGCCAAGCCAAUUCUGAAUCCACACAGCCAAGUUUCCCUGGAUCCCAUGCUUCCUGACUUUCUAAGUAAGCCUUGUCAAAGCUUACUAAAAUCCAUAUGCACCUCAUCCACCACUCUGCUUUCAUCAAUAUGUUUUGUCACAUCCUCAAAGAAUUCAAUCAGGCUUAUGAAACAUAGCCUACGCCUCACAGAGCCUAUCCCUAAUCAGACUAUUCUUCAAAAAUGCUGUCUCUGAGAUUCCUAAUAGUUCGACCAGCAGUUUGCUACCUUUUAGUCCUCUGCACUAUUUCUAUGGGAAAUGAGGACACAGUUCCUGCACAUCCCCUUUCUUAACACCAACAUGUUGCAGCACAUCAGGCUUUUCUGUGCAGACCUCACGUUUGUCGUGGUCCCUCUCACUAGUGAAUACUGAAGCAAAGUAUUCAUUAAGGAUCUCCCCGACCUCCCUUGAGUUGAAAUGCAUGAUCCUUCUUUUGUCACUGAUCAGUCUUGCACUCACUCUCGGCACUCUCUUAUUCUUCACAUAUGUGUCAAAUGCCUUGCAUUCUCUCUAAUACUACUUGUCAAGGCCUUCUCAUGAUAGUGUCUGGCUCUCCUAAGGCCAAUAUUAAGCUCCUUCUUGGCUACCUAGUAACUCUUCAGAGCUCUGUUUGAUCAGUUACUGCCUGUUACACCACUGGUGUUUAGGGCAGCAAUGGAAGUCCUCCAUCUCUGUCUGUCUUUGGCCAUCUUUGCUAUUGUGCCCCAGCUGUGGUUCAAGGUCCUAAUUUCUGCCUCCACUGUCUGGCGCCAAGCUGUCUUUGUUCUCUUGCAUUUCCUCUGCCCUUCAGGAGCCGAUUGAAGUGCUGUCUUGAUGAUAGAGUUGGCCUCUCUUCUCCUUACGUGCCCAAUCCAUCUCCAACGUUUCCUCAUGAUGAUUGUGGCCAUAUCCUCAAAAGUUCAAAGUUCAUUGUAAGAUUUAUUAUCAGAAUACAUACACGUCACCACAUAUCACUCUGCGAUUCUUUUUCUGCAGGUAUACUUAACAAAUCAAAAUAAGAGUGACUGUAAACAAGAGCAAUGAACAACAGACUGUGCAGAUACAAAUAUAAAUAAAUAGCCAUAAAUAAUAAACAUAAAGUAAUAAGAAAGAUAAAGAGUCCUUAAAGUGAGACCAUCGGUUGUGGGAACAACAGAAGUAGAAUGAGUGCAGUUAUCCCCUUUUGUUCAAGAGCCUGAUGGUUGAUGGGUAGUAACUUUUCUUGAACCUGAGGCCCCUGAGGCCCCUGUAUCUUCUGCCUGGUGGCAGCACCUGGUGAUACUGAAGCAGUAGGGCAUGGUUUAAGAUCUAUAUUGGCCAGAAAAUGCGGAGGAUCUUCCAGAGGCUCAUGGUGUGGAAUGACAACAGCUUGGCAAGGUCAGUACCAGUCAUGCGUCAGCAUUCUGACCCGUACAAGAGUGUGGACAGAACACAGCUCUGGUACAGCUUCUUCACCUUGGCGUGGACGCUGUACUUGGUUGAUCCUCAUAUGUUGCUCAUUGAUCUAAAGAUGUUUCUAGCUUUGUUGAGUCUGCACUGGAGGUCAUCCUUGGUCCCACCAUCCUGCUGAAUGAUGCUGCCCAGGAAGGGGAAUCUGCCGCUGCUGGGUAAGUCGAUGCCAUAUGCCUUCACAGGAGGAGCAGACUCUACCAUGGUCUCAUGACUCUGGCUGACUCUGAGUCCAAACUGUCCACAGAUGCUGAGUUUUCUCUUGCAGGUGCUGGUAAUUAUGUGAAAUUAAUGUGAGGUUGUCUGCAAGGCCAAGGUCUUCUAAAGUAGAGAAUACAGUCUAUCUAGUACUUCUCUGCUUAUAACCUUUCAAUCACCACGUUAUUCCUUAGAAUGUGAAAAACUAAGAGGAGAUUUGAUAGAGGUUUUUAAAAUUAUCUGGGGUAUAGACAGGGUAAAUCCAAGCAGACUUUUUCCACUGAGGUUGGGUGGGACUACAAUUGAGGUCAUGGGUUAAGGGUGAAAGGUGAAAAUUUCAAGGAGAACAUGAGGGGAAACUUAUUCACUCAGAGGUUCGUUGGAGUGUGGAAUGAGCUGCCAGCACAAGUGGUGCAUUCAAAAAGCAGUUGAUUCAUUUUUAACUAAUCUAUUUUAGGCCAUGGCAGUCAUCACAGCUAUUUGCACAGUUUUAAGUUUGAGCAUGCAAGUCCAGAAAUUUGAUCCAUUGGCAUCCUUUGAUUCUGCAAAGAAAUUUGCAGAAAAAUUUUUUGAACUGGCACUAGAUUGCAGUAACAAUCACUUGAUCACUUCUGGAUGAAGGCAUCCCGAUAGGGAUAUUGGCACAGACAUGUCAGUCAUGUAUUUAAAUACAGCACAGUUUGUGAGUAAUCCAUUUCCUCCUUUGUUGGAGCUUUCGGUGCAAACUAUGACCUAUGUUGAUUACCCACAGAACAAUGAUCUACUCUGUUGUGUUUAUAUCUAUUUAAAAGGACAUUUUGUUGACAUCAGAAUACCUAUCUAAUAGCUCUAAACUUGCAGCACAUUGCUCAAGCACCUUCCAAAUUUCAAGCAGAAUGCUUAAGCUAAUGGAAAAUACUUUCAUGUUAUUGCAUCACUUAGCUGCUGUAAUGCUCACUCAUCGGAUGUCCCAGUGGCGUAGCACUCUAGCAGCAAUCCAUUUGGCUGAGGCGCAGCAGGAUUUCCAGCAAACCUGCCACACUAGUCUCAAUUAGCAGAGUGACAGAUAAUGUUUUCCCAAAUCAGGAUGUAUUUCAACAGUGCGACUAUGCUCAGACUCAUUUCUAACAUUCAGCAUAAAUCAAGCAGCACAAAGAUCAGCAAUCGUAACAUUUUUCUAUUAAUUUACAAACCUUAAUGCUCUUUUCCAUUUCACUGCAUUUAUAGAGAAUCAAAAUCAAUUGCAGAUACUGAAAAUCUGAAAUAAAAAUAGAAAAUUCUGCAAACACUUCUUAAGAUGAAUACCUAACUUGAAAUAUUAAUCGUCUCUUUUUCCACAGAUGCUGUCUGACCUGCUGAGUAAUCCCAGCAUGUUAUGUUUUGAUUUCACUGGCAUUACACGGUAAAACUCUAGUCAUGCAGCCCCCUCGGGAAUUUGGUGGUGCCGGACUGGCAGAUCUUCUAGUCAAUUGGAUGUUAUUCGUAGCUGAGAGAAUCAACAGAGAGCAUAUGGAACAAGAAAGACUGUUAGAACAGAAAAGAUGCUGCCUGACCUGCUGAGUUCCUCCAGCAUUUUCCGUGUGUUGCUUUGGAUUUCCAGCAUCUUCAGACUUUCUCCUGCUCGAGAGGGACCUUUUGAAGACCCUGCCCUGGAGUUACACGCGGGCUUCAGUUCUUUGUGGGAGUGGGACCUGCUCUUGGGGUUCCAUGAUGGGCUGUUAUUCAACAUGGUAUGCAAGAGCUUAACAACUAGCCUGGAUUAAGUUGAGAACAAAAAAGAAAAUUGUUUGAAGCCAAGCAUUUCUACAUUGGAUUCCAACCUAGAUUUAGCUGCAAAUCCUGAUGCUGUCAGUGACGAGCAUGGUGAAAGGUUUCAUCAGAACAUUGCAGUCAUGGAGAAACGGUAUCAGGGCAACUGGAAUCCAUCAAUGCUGGCUGAUUAUUUUUGGACACUUAAACGAGAAGCCUCAGACACUGGACGCAAAUAAAAAAUUUUCGCUUAGUUAAAAUAUUACAAAACAUCAGCACUG